AGAAAAUCAAAGAAAUCAAAUAUUAAAAUUGAUGCCUUCCCCAGCAACGACAUCAAAAAUUGAUACGAUCGUGAUGCUGUCGUUAGGACAUCGUGAUUAUCAAUCAAACUUCAACUUCAAUAAAAAUUAAAAAUAUAUAAAAAAUAGUGAGUCAGAUCGAAUCUAUAGAGAAGAUAGGAUUUUGACUUGAAAUCUUUGAUUUUAUGAAAAAAAUAAAAUUUUAGAGAAAGCAAUUUAAGUCAAAAAAUAAAAAUUAAAAGUAUAAAAAAUAAAUCAGA
rnacentral:lncRNA from 1 species